AUUUAUUUGCACACAUUUUCUUUAUAUUUGGUAUUUUUUUGCUUUUGUAUUUCAGAUAUAUGCAAGGCGUGACGAAAUUUAUGCAACUUCUUUCUGCCUUGGCAAUAUGCAAUAGGUCCUUCCUGCAAGGCAGCUGCAUAUCUAUGUGGUUGCGAAUCGCGUACGUUUGAACGUGGAAUGUUAGCAUAUGAAGGAGUGGCGAUGACAACCAAAAUAGAUGUGCAGCAAAGAAGCUGCAUUGAGGAAUAUACAAUACCAAGAACCACAACCUUGCUGUAAAUAUGAUAACUUAUUAUCAAAUGGUAACGGAUGUACUUAAAUUUUUAGAGAGAUAUAAAAAGAUUAAAAGAUAAAAAGGGCAUAAAUAUGUUCUUCA